rnacentral:rRNA from 1 species
UACAGAGGGUGCGAGCGUUGUCCGGAAUCACUGGGCGUAAAGGGCGCGUAGGCGGCUUGGUAAGCGCGCGGUGAAAGCUCGAGGCUCAACCUCGAGUCUGCCGUGCGAACUGCCGAGCUGGAGCACGGUAGAGGCACAUGGAAUUCCGGGUGUAGCGGUGGAAUGCGUAGAGAUCGGGAAGAACAUCAGUGGCGAAGGCGGCCUGCUGGGCUGUUGCUGACGCUGAGGCGCGACAGCGUGGGGAGCAAACGAGG